AGGACGAACGCUGGCGGCGUGCCUAACACAUGCAAGUCGAACGGAGCCCGCAAGGGUUCAGUGGCGAACGGGUGCGUAACACGUGAGGAACUUGUCCAUCGGCGGGGGAUAGCCGGCCCAACGGCCGGGUAAUACCGCGUACGCCGUCCGGAGCGCAUGCUCUGGCCGGGAAAGCAGCAAUGCACCGAUGGAGAGCCUCGCGGCCUAUCAGCUAGUUGGUGGGGUAAUGGCCUACCAAGGCGACGACGGGUAGCUGGUCUGAGAGGAUGACCAGCCACAUUGGGACUGAGACACGGCCCAGACUCCUACGGGAGGCAGCAGUGGGGAAUAUUGCGCAAUGGGCGAAAGCCUGACGCAGCGACGCCGCGUGUGGGAUGACGGCCUUCGGGUUGUAACCACUGUCGCGAGGGACGAAGAUCUGACGGUACCUCGAAAGGAAGCACCGGCUAACUCUGUGCCAGCAGCCGCGGU
rnacentral:rRNA from 1 species